rnacentral:rRNA from 1 species
GAUGAACGCUAGCGGCAGGCCUAAUACAUGCAAGUCGAGGGGCAGCGCGGUAGCAAUACUGGCGGCGACCGGCGCACGGGUGCGUAACACGUAUGCAACCUACCUUCAACUGGAGGAUAGCCCGGGGAAACUCGGAUUAAUACUCCAUAACACAGGGAUCCCGCAUGGGAAUAUUGUUAAAGCUACGGCGGUUGAAGAUGGGCAUGCGUUCGAUUAGCUAGUUGGUGUAGGUAACGGCUCACCAAGGCUACGAUCGAUAGGGGGUCUGAGAGGAUGAUCCCCCACACUGGUACUGAGAUACGGACCAGACUCCUACGGGAGGCAGCAGUAGGGAAUAUUGGUCAAUGGGCGCAAGCCUGAACCAGCCAUGCCGCGUGCAGGAAGAAGGCCCUCUGGGUUGUAAACUGCUUUUGAUAGGGAACAAAUGCCACUUGCGAGUGGAGCUGAGUGUACCUAUAGAAUAAGCACCGGCUAAACUCCGUGCCAGCAGCCG